CUGGCCACUGCAGUCAGCAGUGGCAACCUGCUUGGGUCCGCUUCCACACUGUGGAAGCUUUGCUCUUUCGCUCUUCACAAUAAAUCUUGCGGCUGCUCACUCUUUGGGUCUGCACUACCUUUAUGAGCUGUAACACUCACCAUGAGGGUCUGUGUCUUCAUUCCUUGAAGUCAGUGAGACCACGAACCCACUGGGAGGAACAAACAACUCCAGAUGCGCCACCUUUAAGAGCUGUAACACUCACCGCAAAGGUCUGUGGCUUCACUUCUGAAGUCAGCGAGACCACGAACCCACUGGAAGGAAGAAACUCCAGACACACCAUCUUUAAGAGCUGUAACACUCACCGCAAAGGUCUGUGGCUUCAUUCUCAAAGUCAGUGACACCAAGAACCCACCAGAAGGAAUAAAUUCUGGACACAUUUUGGUGACCACGAAGGGACUAUCACCUAUCGCCAAGUGGAUCGAGGCCAUCAAGCUACAGAUGGUCUUACAAAUGGAACCCCAAAUGAGCUCAACUAACAACUUCUACUAAGGACCCCUGGGCCAACCCACUGGCCCUUUGACUGGCCUAAAGAGUUCCCCUCUGAAGGACACUACAAUUGCAGGGACCCUUCUUUGCCCCUAUCCAGCAGGAAGUAGCUAGAGCGGUCAUUGUCCAAUUCCCAACUGCAGUUGGGGUGUCCUGUUUAGAGGGGGGAUUGAGAGGUGAAGCCAGCUGGACUUCCUGGGUCGAGUGGGGACUUGGAGAACAUUUCUGUCUAGCUAAAGGAUUGUAAAUGCACCAAUGAGCACUCUGUAAAAAUGCACCAAUCAGCGCUCUGUGUCUAGCUGAAAGAUUGUAAAUGCACCAAUCAGCACUCUGUAAAAACAUACCAAUCAGCGCUCUGUGUCUAGCUAAAGGAUUGUAAACGCACUGAUCAGCACUCUGUAAAAUGGACCAAUCAGCGUUCUGUAAAAUGGACCAAUCAGCAGGACAUGGGUGGGGCCAAACAAGGGAAUAAAAGCUGGUCACCCCAGCCAGCAGUGGCAAGCCACUCGGGUCCCCUUCCACACUGUGGAAGCUUUGUUCUUUUGCUCUUCACAAUAAAUCUUGCUGUUGCUCACUUUUUGGGUCUGCACUACCUUUAUGAGCUGUAACACUCACCACAAGGGUCUGCAGCUUCAUUCCUUGAAGUCAGUGAGUCCACAAAUCCACCAGGAUGAACAAACAACUCCGGAUGCACCACCUUUAAGAGCUGUAACACUCACUGCGAAAGUCUGCGGCUUCACUCCUGAAGUCAGCGAGACCAUGAUCCCACUGGAAGGAAGAAACUCCAGGCACAUCUGAACAUCUGAAGGAACAAACUCCAGACACACCAUCUUUAAGAGCUGUAACACUCACCACGAAGGUCUGCAGCUUCAUUCUUGAAGUCAGCGACAUAAGAACCCACUGGAAGGAAUAAAUUCCGGACACAUCAGCACUAUUCAGAGAGGUCCAUGGCAGCUGACCUCAGGCUGGUGUCCAUUGGAGUGGACCUGAUGACUGUGUUCCUGGACCAUAUGUCCACAGGGGCUGGACUGAAGCCCAGUUCCAAGGAUGUUGACCUGGCACUGAGGGGGCCUACAGGAGAGGCCAGUACUCUUCUCUAUUGAAGCUGCAUGUACACUUGGCCCAGGACUCAGACCCAAAGGGAGGAGAUCUCAUGGGAGCUGGAGGAACUGUGGGUCCUGGCACUGCCGCAUGCCAGUAAGACUAGAGAGGCUCUCCUUCUGGCUUUGAAGAGGUAAGCUGUCAUAUGUGAGGGAGCAUGUGACAAGGAACCAUGCAGAUCUCCACAAAGCUGAGAGAAGCCUCUGGUUGACAGCCAGCAAGGAAGAGGAGAUCUCAGUCCUGCAACUACAUAGAACCAAAUUCUGUCAACGCCGACUUGACCUUGAGCUCCAGAAAGGAAUGCUGUAUGGAUGACAUCUAACUGGUUUGGCUCAGGGUCUCAUUGCAGCUUUGUGAGAACUUCAGCAAAACCAGUUAGGUUGUACCCAGAAU
rnacentral:lncRNA from 1 species